CCUACGGGAGGCAGCAGUGAGGAAUAUUGGUCAAUGGACGAGAGUCUGAACCAGCCAAGUAGCGUGAAGGAUGACUGCCCUAUGGGUUGUAAACUUCUUUUAUAUGGGAAUAAAACGUUCCACGUGUGGGAUUUUGUAUGUACCAUAUGAAUAAGGAUCGGCUAACUCCGUGCCAGCAGCCGCGGUAAUACGGAGGAUCCGAGCGUUAUCCGGAUUUAUUGGGUUUAAAGGGAGCGUAGGUGGAUUGUUAAGUCAGUUGUGAAAGUUUGCGGCUCAACCGUAAAAUUGCAGUUGAAACUGGCAGUCUUGAGUACAGUAGAGGUGGGCGGAAUUCGUGGUGUAGCGGUGAAAUGCUUAGAUAUCACGAAGAACUCCGAUUGCGAAGGCAGUUCACUGGACUGCAACUGACACCGAGGCUCGAAAGUGUGGGUAUCAAACAGGAUUAGAUACCCCAGUAGUC
rnacentral:rRNA from 1 species